ensembl:lncRNA
AGCAAGACUAAUACCAUUAAACACAGUCCACAGCAACUCGGGAUCCGAGCUACAUCUGCGACCUAUACCACAGCUCAUGGCAAGGCCACGUCCUUAACCCACUGAGCAAGGCCAGGGAUCAAACCUGCAUCUUCAUGGAUGCUAGUGAGAUUCAUUGCGGCUGAGCCACGACGGGAACUCCUCUUUGCAACUUUUUUAGUGUUCAUAUUUCCAAUAGAGAGGUCCUGAGUUUCUCAGCAUAAUUUUGCAUAUGAAACAUAAUUAUUAGUUGCAAGCAAGUAAUUUCACUGCUCUAUUGCAUUAUCUGUAGCCCUCUCAUAUCUAUCCAAAUAUGAGUAUCAUGAGUUCUUUAUAUAAUAUGAUUUUGUGAUACAGUUAAUCUUUCAGUGGCCUCUGAAUAGAAAUUUUAUUAUUGAUUAAUGUACUUAAGAUGCAGCCUGAGUUCUAGCUUUAAAAAAAGUUUAAACUUUUUAUUGAAAUAAACAUAGAAGUACCUAAGUUUGUAUCUCAUUGAAAAAUAAUAUAAUGAUCACAGAUGCAUAUAUCCAGUUUUUAUUUGUAAUUGAUUAUUUCUUUAUAAAUCAUUAAAUAAACCUUGAUGAUUUUAGCUUUCCCUUAAAAGGGUAGGCAUAUGAGUUGAAGAAUGCUAAUUGUGCUAUUGUAUAUUGAUUUACUUCUUAAUUUUUAAUUAAACUGCUUAUACAUUGGUGCACCACCAAUGUUAAUACAUUAAUCUAGUCAUGAUUAUCACUGGUAUAGAUGUUUAUUGUGUAUAUGUGCAUAUCUGUGUGAAUAUGUGUUGAGUGUGGAGAUAGACUGAUUUGAUCAGGUAUGAAAUGAGAUAAUUUUAAACAUUUAUGCUUAAAAAAAACUUGGCCAUUAUUCUUAGUCCUUGACAUAUUAUCUGAAAAAUAAAUUCCCCUCAGAGUGUGUGUGUGUGUGUGUAUAUAUAUAUAUAUAAUAUAUAUAUAUAUACACAUACCUCAUUUGCACAUGAAGAAACCAAGCCCCUGUAUCUAAAUAGUGGCUUACCUACUCUUAGUUUUUACUCUCCAGCACAUUCAACCCAAGUGCCCUAUGGUGAUUGUUCUCUCUGUAGCAAAUAGUGAGAGCCAGAACUCUUGCAGGCCAACACAGAAAAAGGAAUCACUUCUGCUAGUGGAGAAUGUCUCCAGAAUUUCCUCUUUUCCGGUAACUCAGCACUCAGCUCAGCCCUGGCUUGGGCUGCCUUUAAAAUAGCUAUAUGCUUUGUGAGAAGCACCAGGAGAAAUACUGCCAAAAAUGAUAAAAGACUGUUGUUUUGAAUAUAAAUUUUAAGUAGCCCCACAUCUAUUAGAUAUGACAACCAACAUGACAAUUUGGGAUUCCGGUGAAACAGAACAUUGGCUUCCGAUGUUGCUUAUCAGUGAGAUUAUGAAACUCUGAUCACAGGCAUUGGUUAUGAACUGAACAUGCUCAUGUAACAUGUGAUCAGAAUAUUUGCUCCCAACCCCAGGUUGGGAGGCUAGGGCUUCAUAAGGGAAAUACAUUGUAAUAGCUCUCAUCUUCUGCCCCACUCCAUAUGACUCCUGCCUCUCCGCAUGUGAUGUCUACAUCUGCAUAGAUGCAGACACACAGAAAAGGCACCCUGAAAAGAACAGGAAAGUGAUAGAUUCUUUCAAAUCACAAGCACACACAACUGGGGAGGAUUUAAGGUUAAAGAAUGUGUAGGAGCCAAAGAUCAUGGCUCUCGAAAUAUCUAAGCCCGUCAGUAUCACCAUGAUGAAAGUGAUUCCUGUUAUCAUAUUUCUGAGCAGUUUUCUCACCUAAAUGCUUCUACAGUACAAGCCAGAGUCAUUUACUGAAAUGUUUGCAUUUCCUUAAAAAUAUGUUCUACCAGUGACUUUUCUAAACCGUGGUUACUCUGUAGCUCACCUGUAAAUGACUAUCUUGCAUUUGUGCCUUUAUUUCAAGAUGCCUAAGAUUGUUUGAGGAAUAAAUAGAUAUAGAGGGAGGAGGGUUCCUCUAUAAAUUACCAAGGUAAAGGGAUAAUUCCUCUGUUUUUGAGUGGAUAGGUGAAUAAAUAUAUGAAGUAGGCAGUAGGAGAAUUCUCUCCCAGAAAUUUAGUCUAGUUGGCGGGGGUGGGGGGGUUAGUAAUCAGAAAUGUUUUAUGGAAGAUCUUAAUUUCCAGAUGGUACCUGGGACAUUAUUGAUACAAAUUAUGAUAAUGUAUCCUAAAAGUGGUCUAUUAAAUCUAAGUUAACUUUUGGUCAAAUAAACUUGUCAAGGUCAACAUUGUUUAUAUAGGAAUAAAGUCAAUAAAUUGAUUUUUUUUUAAACUCAAUUACAUGGAUGUUUUCAGGAAUAAUGAUCACCCAGGCUUACUUUGCUCUGUUAGUCUUUAUUUUAUAAUUAUUCACUAUGAUGAUUGAAGUCAGUUGACUCUUCUCAAAUAACAUUUUAAUUAAAUUGAUAAAUCCUCAGAAAUUAAAAAAUCCAUGAUACGCUUAUAGUUAUCCCUGAGGAUAAUUUCUUUCAAAAGUCUAGCAAUAAGUGGUAGUUUUAAAAUAACUCAAGUUUUUCUCUAUAUUGCUCUAAGACCAUAUAAGCAAAUUCAUGGUUUUAGCCACGAAGAGUGCUUAGUUUCGGAUAUACCCUCCUACUUUAAAUAACUAUAAAAUAUGUAGAAAUCUUAUAAAAUAACUGUUUGCAGUGAUAGGACUGGAGCCAAAGCAGAGCCACAAUCCAUGGUUCACCUCACAAGAUGAGUCCUAUGUAUAUUAAGGAUUUUUUUCUAGAGACAAUUUCUAGGCUGGAGUGUAGGAAAACAGAGCCCAAGCAUGAGUAUUAUAUAAAAGGCCAAUUACUUUUAAAACAUGUUUUAUAAAAAUAUAUACCCUUCAAUUCAUAUAACUCAAUACCAAAAACCAAAACAAUAUUAUUCUAUUAAAAAUGGGCACAGGAGCUGAGUAAUUUUUUCAGAGAAAAUAUGCAUAUGACCAAUAAGUAGGUAUAUGAAAAGGUGCCCAGCCUCACUAACCAUCUGGGAAAUGCAAAUCAAAACCUCGAUGAAAUAUCACCCCAUGCCUGUUAGAAUGCCUAUUAGCAAAAAGACAAUAAGUAGCAAGUGCUGGUAAGAAUAUACAGAAAAGAAAACCCUAUCAUACUAUUGGUGGCAAUGUAAAUUGAUAAAGUCACUAAGGAAAAGAAUAUGGAGGUUCCUCAAAAAAAAUUAAUUAUGAUCCAGCAAGUCCACUUUGGGAAAUUUUUACAAAGAAAUGAAAACACUAGCUAAAAAAAAAAAAAAAAAAAAA